ACAUCGUUAGCUUAGUUGGUAGAGCAAGGGCUUUUAACUCCAAGGUCGAAGGUUCGAAUCCUUCACGAUGUACCA
rnacentral:tRNA from 1 species